UUGUCUCAAAGAUUAAGCCAUGCAUGUCUCAGUACAAGCCAUAUUAAGGUGAAACCGCGAAAGGCUCAUUAAAUCAGUUAUGGUUCCUUAGAUCGUACCCACAUUUACUUGGAUAACUGUGGUAAUUCUAGAGCUAAUACAUGCAAACAGAGCUCCGACCGGAGACGGAAGGAGCGCUUUUAUUAGAUCAAAACCAAUCGGUGGCGGGUUUACGCUCGUCAUCGUACAACUUGGUGACUCUGAAUAACUUUACGCUGAUCGCAUGGUCUAGCACCGGCGACGCAUCUUUCAAAUGUCUGCCUUAUCAACUGUCGAUGGUAGGUUCUGCGCCUACCAUGGUUGUAACGGGUAACGGGGAAUCAGGGUUCGAUUCCGGAGAGGGAGCCUGAGAAACGGCUACCACAUCCAAGGAAGGCAGCAGGCGCGCAAAUUACCCACUCCCGGCACGGGGAGGUAGUGACGAAAAAUAACGAUACGGGACUCUUCCGAGGCCCCGUAAUCGGAAUGAGUACACUCUAAACCCUUUAACGAGGAUCAAUUGGAGGGCAAGUCUGGUGCCAGCAGCCGCGGUAAUUCCAGCUCCAAUAGCGUAUAUUAAAGUUGUUGCGGUUAAAAAGCUCGUAGUCGAAUUUGUGUCCCGCGCCGCCGGUUCAUCGCACGCGGUGUUAACUGGCGUGCCGCGGGACGUCCUGCCGGUGGACUUAGCCUUUGCGGGCGGUCCAACUCAAUCCCACCACGGUGCUCUUUACUGAGUGUCGAGGUGGGCCGGCACGUUUACUUUGAACAAAUUAGAGUGCUCAAAGCAGGCUAAAACUUCGCCUGAAUACGUGUGCAUGGAAUAAUGGAAUAGGAUCUCGGUUCUAUUUUGUUGGUUUUCGGAACCCCGAGGUAAUGAUUAAUAGGAACGGAUGGGGGCAUUCGUAUUGCGACGUUAGAGGUGAAAUUCUUGGAUCGUCGCAAGACGAACAGAAGCGAAAGCAUUUGCCAAAAACGCUUUCAUUGAUCAAGAACGAAAGUUAGAGGUUCGAAGGCGAUCAGAUACCGCCCUAGUUCUAACCAUAAACGAUGCCAGCUAGCGAUCCGCCGACGUUCCUCCGAUGACUCGGCGGGCAGCUUCCGGGAAACCAAAGCUUUUGGGUUCCGGGGGAAGUAUGGUUGCAAAGCUGAAACUUAAAGGAAUUGACGGAAGGGCACCACCAGGAGUGGAGCCUGCGGCUUAAUUUGACUCAACACGGGAAACCUCACCAGGCCCGGACACCGGAAGGAUUGACAGAUUGAGAGCUCUUUCUUGAUUCGGUGGGUGGUGGUGCAUGGCCGU
rnacentral:rRNA from 1 species